AUUGAACGCUGGCGGCAUGCCUAACACAUGCACGUCGAGCGCAGCUUCGGACGAGUGAGUAAUGCCUAGUAAUCUGCCUGUUAGUAGCGUAUACCUUCCAGGAACGUGAGCUAAUACCGCAUACUUUCAGAUGCGCCUCGGUCGUCUUAGCUAGUUGGUCGGGUAAAGGCAUACAAAGGCGACGAUCCGUAACGUGUCUGAGAGGAUGAUCAGUCACACUGGGACUGAGACACGGUCCAGACUCCUACGUGAGGCAGCAGGAGGGAAUAUUGGACAAUGGGCGAAAGCCUGAUCCAGCCAUGCCGCGUGUGUGAAGAAGGUCUUCGGAUAGUAAAGCACUUUAAGUUGGGAGGCGUUACCUAAAGAAUAAGCAACGGCUAACUUCGUGCCAGCAGCCGCGGUAAUUC
rnacentral:rRNA from 1 species